UACAACAGUUCUUCUGGAUACUCCUAGAUGUCGACAUACAUAUUAGAUCUUCAGAAAUCCCCAAACAAAAUCCCUGUGAAAUAACUUGCACCACCGAACAGAUCUGUACCUGUUAAUCGACUGCAUCAAGAACUCCAUCUUUGCCGAUAGCCGCAGGCGCCCUCUCACAGACGGUGUUUCCACCGAAUCGCCGCUCUUGAGAAAAGAAGGAUCCACGCUAGCGAGGUAGGAGACAGCUGCUCCAUCGACCCAUGCUUGCAUUUACUUGGCUGCUAGCAUAGUUACAGGAAAAGCAUAAAUCCUGUACCACGGAUCAGGACGGACUUCUUCAGGGCUGUGGACCUGUCCGGGCAAUAGCGCGGCAGCACCGACACGCACUCUGCUCUCCAGCAGCGCCCUCACGACAGAUUUGGCCGUCUGCACUUGAAGCCGCCAGUACUGGCAUCUCCACCUCCGCCGGCACGAUGACCGGGAACCGAACAGGCUCAACGGUGCUGUUGUUAUCAUUGACCUCCUCUAGCAGUGUUCUGGUUCAUCCACACAAUUUUUGCGGCCGACAGAAACAAAGUCAGUGCCGACUGCCGACAACCGGAUCCAAAUCAUUGCAAAAGGGAGGUUCAUCGAGCAGAUUCUAACCUGUUUAUCGGCUGCAUCAAAAACUCCAUGAUCGCCGGAACACCUGGGAACUCGCUGGACCGCGCAAUCCCAUUGGCCGCAGGAGAUUUCCCCGCCUAGGGAGAAUGCAAGAUCCACCUUCACUGCCCCACCCCCCACACACAGCGCCCAUCUUCUGCAUUUACUGCGCGGUCUGCCGACGCUACCGGAAAGCACCGGAUCUGAUCCAUGGAUUAGGAAGCCCAUCGACGACUCGAGCCACGGCUCAGGCUCGCUCCGUCGAUGCCGUGCAAACAUCCGUGCAAGCCAGGUCCAUCGGUCAGGUCCGUACAGCGACGUACUCUGGACCUGUAGCCUGCCCCCUUCAUUUAAUUCGCCAAAUCUCAAAGCUAUUCUGGACGGAUGUGAUACCAAGCUCCUGUGAGCUCGUGAUCACAUACUCCGCGUCAAUUGUUCUUCAGUAAUAUACAGGGGUAAUCAAUAUGCACUUGUAAAAUUUUACAGGGAUACUAAGCAGGGCCUUGUUCUGUUUU